CCUGCCCGUUGAAUUUUUUGAAAGGCCGCGGUAUAUUAACUGUGCAAAGGUAGCAUAAUAAUUAGUUUUUUAAUUGAAGGCUUGUAUGAAGGGUUGGACAAAGAAAAAACUGUCUUUAAUUUUAUUUUUGAAAUUAACUUUUAAGUGAAAAGGCUUAAAUAAAUUUAAGGGACGAUAAGACCCUAUAAAUCUUUAUAUUAGUUUAUUUUCUUGAAAAUUAAUUUUGUCUAGAAUAUUAAGUAAAAUAGAAAAUAUUUUGUUGGGGUGAUGAGAAUAUAAAUUUAACUGUUCUUAGAUGAAACAAAGUUAUUUGUUUAGUUUUAAUAGAUCCUUUUUAGAGAUUAAGAGUUUAAGUUACUUUAGGGAUAACAGCGUUAUUUUUUUUGAGAGUUCUUAUCGAAAAAAAAGUUUGCGACCUCGAUGUUGAAUUAAAAUUUCUCCAUGGUGAAGUAUUUAUGGGUGGAAAGUCUGUUCGACUUUUAAAGGAGUUUGAGCC
rnacentral:rRNA from 1 species